CCAGACUCCUACGGGAGGCAGCAGUGGGGAAUAUUGCACAAUGGGGGAAACCCUGAUGCAGCGACGCCGCGUGAGUGAAGAAGUAUUUCGUUAUGUAAAGCUCUAUCAGCAGGGAAGAAAAUGACGGUACCUGACUAAGAAGCCCCGGCUAACUACGUGCCAGCAGCCGCGGUAAUACGUAGGGGGCAAGCGUUAUCCGGAAUUACUGGGUGUAAAGGGUGAGUAGGCGGCAUGGUAAGCCAGAUGUGAAAGCCUUGGGCUUAACCCAAGGAUUGCAUUUGGAACUAUCAAGCUAGAGUACAGGAGAGGAAAGCGGAAUUCCUAGUGUAGCGGUGAAAUGCGUAGAUAUCAGGAGGAACACCGGCGGCGAAGGCGGCCUGCUGGACCGCGACUGACGUUGAGGCUCGAAAGCGUGGGGAGCGAACAGGAUUAGAUACCCUGGUAU
rnacentral:rRNA from 1 species